rnacentral:lncRNA from 1 species
GAGCCUCUUGCAUUGCCCACAAAGGAAGCAGAGAUUGAGGGGAGAAGAACUGGAGAAAUUAAAAAAGUGGAAAGAGACAGCAACACAAAUAAAGAGGUGGGUAAUAAUAUUGUACAUCUAAAAGCCUGGGGAGUGUGUCAUAAACAAAUGGGCUGCAAUGGUCAGUAGGCAAUUAUAUCCUGUUGCCUCAUUUAAAAUGCUGACUAAUUACAUAGAGCAAGAGGAAAUUAGCACAGGAACCUUAUUCUUUGCCAAGUCCACAUCAAAAUGCUGUAAAUGAAAAACAUGAAAUCAAUCUUCCAUGGCUUUAAAGAACUCAUAGUUCUUGAAGUUUAAACAUCUGCACAAAGUCCUCCAAAGUAUAAGACAACUUAAUGGAUAUUCAAAUCUCAGAAAUUAGACUUGUAAAAAAGCUCUCAGAACCCCUAAGGCUCUCACCUUUUUGUGAUCUGAACAGUCAGUUUAACAUUUUUUUUCUUUAAUCUGAUAUUAUUGU